UACGUAGGGUGCAAGCGUUGUCCGGAAUUAUUGGGCGUAAAGAGCUUGUAGGCGGUUUUGUCGCGUCUGCUGUUGGAAAUUUCCGGGGCUCAACCCCGAACUUGCAGUGGGUACGGGCAGACUAGGAGUGUGGUAGGGGAGACUGGAAUUCCUGGUGUAGCGGUGAAAUGCGCAGAUAUCAGGAGGAACACCGAUGGCGAAGGCAGGUCUCUGGGCCGUAACUGACGCUGAGGAGCGAAAGCGUGGGGAGCGAACAGG
rnacentral:rRNA from 1 species